AGGGCUGCUGCUGUGAGGAGGCGUGUUUUAACCCAAACUAUCCUGACUAAGUGGCUAAACCAAGCCAGGGGGUGAAAAUGAUGUGGUUCUGUUGGCUUCAUCGGGUGGUGGCUUCCAGCUCCCACUGAAACAGGUCUCAGUGAGGGAGUUACAGAUGGAUUGGGGCAGCAUCUGCCGUGACGCUGAUGCUGUAUUAGUCCGAGAGAGCUGAGCACGUAGAUUCGGUGAAUAUACGUCCCUACCAUACAUAUGGUAACGAGCUCUGAGCAGUGACUAAAGGUGAGAUUUGCUGAUACAAGCGGCAGAAAUGGGCUUUCUUUGAAGGUUGGCUGGGUAUGGGGCCUAAGUAUGGGGGAAAAAAUUAAUAUAUACAAAACACAUUCCAUUUUCCUGCAAAUACUCCCAAGCAGCUUAGAUGCCUUGGUGGAGUUUGUUUUCUCUGAUUAGUUCUUGUUAUUUAAAUUUUUAUUUGAUUCUUAGUUUGCUAGUUCUUUACUUUCUCAUCUGUGUGUAUCUCCUUAUUUAUUCCUGUGUUUUUCUUUCAUCGCCUAUGUUAAGUUCAUUCAUGUGGCUGAGUUUCCCUGUUUUUGUAUUACUUCUCACUUCCUGCUUCCUUUUGGUCAUCACUUAUCUUUUGUGCUUCACAUUUACUUUUACUUCCCCCUCCUGGCUCAUUGUCUUUGAUUACUAUCACCUGCGACUCGUUACCCAGCUGUGUUCACUUCCCUUUUAAUUGCCCUCUAGUGUAUAAAUGGUGAUGUCUUCCCUUUAGUCUUUGUCUCAGCAUCUGCUAAUCUCCAAUUGUGUGUUCACUAUAAUCGCUGGCUUUUGUUUUGCCUGUUGCAUUGUGAAUUUUGUAUUUUGGACUGUUUCAACAGCCCUGUUAAAAGGUGUUUUGAGUUAACGAUGCCCUGUUCCUGAGUCUGCCUUUGGGUCCUAAUUACUUGGUUCAUGACAGGUUAAUUCAGUCACUUACAUUUUAAAUAUGUCUAUUUAGCCUUGCAGCUUGCUCACCUUUAAAUCCCCUCAGACUGUGCCUUUGUUCCUGUUUUGUGCUUUCUCCAUGAUUUCUUAGUCUGACUGAAUUUUGAUCAGAUUUAAGAUUCGACUGAAGUUACAAGCUGAAGCUAGAAGAUGAUAGUCAAUAACCUCUAGCUGAAAGGGUUUUUUUUCUUCCAACAGUUUCCAAGGAUGAAAUGGUCUAGACUAUGUCUAAUGACUGCCCACUUUACCCCAUGAUUGGACAGGUUAUUCACUUAUUGCAAAUAUCGAUUUUUGAUUUACAACAGUUCAUGCAGAUCUGCUCUAUUCUGGCAUGAAUAGCUUUAAUUAUGAGUUUGAGACUGAAAGAGAAAUUGAAGAAAUUGCACUUUUUCUUUCUCUCUUUUUUUCUCAAAAAUGUGUCCACCUGCUCACUGAACGUGCCAUUGAAGGAAUGACAGUAUUUUCUUUCUAAUAUAGAACGUACCAAAAAUAAUGAAAACCACUAAAUAACAAUCAAUAGCCUCUCUGGAACAACAGUUAACCUAAAUUUAUCCUCUCCAAUGACGAAAGGUCUUUCAAAAAUCUUACAGGUAUAAUUACUGGCCACUUUUAGGACCUUCUGGCAUCUCCACCUUGAACUGAAACAGCUGUGAACCCAGAGACCACACGCCGUCAGAUCAGCAGGCGCAUGGCAUGCUUUGUUCUUUCUCCAAUUAUCAGACUGAGAAAACAAAUCUGUCAGAAAUGAUAUGUGGCUGAGCUAUUGAUCUGUUUAUACAGUCCACAUCUUUUUCCCUUUCCCACAGAAUCUAUUAGCACUGCUUGCCUUUCUCUGUCUCAUGCCACAGCAGGGGAGAAACAGUGCAAGCCAUUUACGUCAUGAAGGCCCAAGGACCACUGGAGGCCAGAUACCUAUUCUCUAGCAUGCUGGAAUCAAAUGUGUUAUGGGCUCUAUUUUCAUUUGAGCUGUAUGAAUAAACUAGAUGGCCAUGACCAUUAGGCUGCUCAUAAAGAAAUGACAGAGUGAAGGUAGCGUCACACCCUGAAAAGAAUAGUGAACUCUAGUACAUACAAUUUUCCCCUAUUUAAUAGAUGUUGACAUUUUCAAGGUGUAUAGCAAACCUGUUAGAUUAUGUUCCCUUUAUUCUCUAGAAUUUCUUAGUUGUUAAAGGUAACCUAUUAUGCUUAUUUCCAGCUCCAAAUUUGUACUGUUAGGCUUUGCUUGAUUCACAGCUGAAAACACUGAGCUUCAGUGCAUUCCUACUGCUUCCUCUGUCUGAGACGAGCUGUUUUAGCUCCCUUCACUUUAAGCCAACUUUCGUCUGACUGACUGCCCCUCAUGAACAAAGGAUGUGAACAGCAGGUGGGUGGUUGCAUCUGUGCUUACAGCCAAAGCUGCACACUUCCCUGAAGCAUGAAUCAUGCUUUUUUUUUUUUUUUUAAUAAAUUCCAUCAAAGUGACUCAAAUGAAAAAGUAGGGGUGUGUUUGAAAUAUCUCUGAUUGUCCAUCAUGCAUUCUGGGCAUUCUUGUGCAAGAUAAUGAACCCCAAGUUACACCCAAAGUAUGUAUCUGUGUGUAUGUGUAUUCAUAUCUUUGUGGGGACCAAAAGUUUGAUGUUUACUAUACUUACGGGGACCAAAAUCCUGGUCCCCACAAGUUUGAAGGCAUUUUUGAGACUUCAAAUGUGGUUUUAGUUUCAGGGUUACAAUUGGGUUAUGGUUAGGUAUAGGGAUGAUGUGAGUUAGUUCUCUUUCAUUAAAGCUUUAGUGCACGGUCCUAGGGGCCAACUGGAUCAUCCGAACUCUCCCUUAAGUCUCCUGUUUAGCUGUUCUGCUCCUCUCCUCUUUCCCUCGUAGGUCAUCUUUGGCGUUCCACUGUAGUCACUCCCAUCUGACUAAUUGGUCCGUAUGCUAAGUUAUUGUGAAGCUCUUAAAGUUUUGGGCUAUCAGAAAGAGUGGUCUAUGGGGGGAAAAAAAAAAAAAAAAAAAAUUCAAAAUAUAUUAUAUUUGUCACAGUCUGGCAGAAGCAGACUGUAGGAAUGUGUAAAGAGGACCCAAAAUGCAGACAAACGGAACGUGGAACCAAAACUUGGGUAUUAACAAAAAGCGAGCCCUUUAAUGAGGCUGGUAAAAAAGGUACAAACAAAGGGCAAAGCAAACUGAAGCAAAACUAACAUUAACCUAAACUGGGUGAACUAAACAAACAACAAGAAAAACCUGGACAUGAAACUUGGAAACAUAGCGUGGAGCACAUGACGUGAACAACAGACGACCUGACAAAGAACGAACAGAAACACACAGACUAAAUACACACAAGGGUGAUUAGGGGAAGUGGAAACACACGGGGAAACAGCUGACGCUAACGAAACAAAGGAAGCAAAGCUGACUACACUGAUGUAGGACAUGGACCUUCAAAAUAAAAGAGGAAACAUGAGAUGCAGACAUGACAAUACAAACUUGACAACAUAAGACAUGCAGCAUGAAACACAUAAGGGGCAAAGGGAGACUAAAACACAGAGGUAGAAGACACAAGGGGAAUCUAAUAAACAAAUGAACUUAGAUAACCUAAUGAACUUAAACAUAAACAAUAAAGAUAGAAAAUAAACGAAAACUCAAAACG